GACGAACCGAGCGAACGUUAUUCGGAAUCACUGGGCUUAAAGGGUGCGUAGGCGGGCCCGUAAGUCAGGGGUGAAAUCCCACGGCCCAACCGUGGAAGUGCCUCUGAUACUGCUGGCCUGGAGGGGGAUAGGGGCGUGCGGAACUUCCGGUGGAGCGGUGAAAUGCGUAGAUAUCGGAAGGAACACCGGUGGCGAAAGCGGCGCGCUGGAUCCCUACUGACGCUGAGGCACGAAAGCCAGGGGAGCAAACGGG
rnacentral:rRNA from 1 species